GCAAGGUUAAAACUCAAAUGAAUUGACGGGGGCCCGCACAAGCGGUGGAGCAUGUGGUUUAAUUCGAUGCAACGCGAAGAACCUUACCUGGUCUUGACAUCCACGGAAGGUCUCAGAGAUGAGACUGUGCCUUCGGGAGCCGUGAGACAGGUGCUGCAUGGCUGUCGUCAGCUCGUGUUGUGAAAUGUUGGGUUAAGUCCCGCAACGAGCGCAACCCUUAUCCUUUGUUGCCAGCGGUCCGGCCGGGAACUCAAAGGAGACUGCCAGUGAUAAACUGGAGGAAGGUGGGGAUGACGUCAAGUCAUCAUGGCCCUUACGACCAGGGCUACACACGUGCUACAAUGGCGCAUACAAAGAGAAGCGACCUCGCGAGAGCAAGCGGACCUCAUAAAGUGCGUCGUAGUCCGGAUUGGAGUCUGCAACUCGACUCCAUGAAGUCGGAAUCGCUAGUAAUCGUGGAUCAGAAUGCCACGGUGAAUACGUUCCCGGGCCUUGUACACACCGCCCGUCACACCAUGGGAGUGGGUUGCAAAAGAAGUAGGUAGCUUAACCUUCGGGAGGGCGCUUACCACUUUGUGAUUCAUGACUGGGGUGAAGUCGUAACAAGGUAACCGUAGGGGAACCUGCGGUUGGAUCACCUCCUUACCUUAAAGAAGC
rnacentral:rRNA from 1 species